rnacentral:lncRNA from 1 species
AUACACCCACCUUCAUUAUGGCUGACAUUCAACAGUACUACCAGCAAGACCACCAAGAUGUCUCAGCCACCAAGGAACGCUCUUCUUCCCACAUCCUUGCCCUCGCCACCCUCCUUCCUUUCGGUGCCUCACUCCUCUUCCUCGCCGGAGUCACUCUCCUCGCCACCCUCAUCGGCGUCGCCCUCGCAACCCCCCUCUUUAUAAUCUUCAGCCCAAUCUUGAUCCCCGCAGCUCUCGUCAUCGCCUUCUCCGUCUCGGGAUUCUUGACAUCGGGUGCCUUCGGCGUAACCUCAGUCUCUUCGUUCGCGUGGAUGGCCAGUUAUUUCCGCCGAUCUCGCC